rnacentral:rRNA from 1 species
GCAACUCGACUACAUGAAGCUGGAAUCGCUAGUAAUCGCAGAUCAGAAUGCUGCGGUGAAUACGUUCCCGGGUCUUGUACACACCGCCCGUCACACCAUGGGAGUCGGAAAUGCCCGAAGCCGGUGACCAAACCAAUAAGGAAGGAGCCGUCGAAGGCAGGUCUGAUAACUGGGGUGAAGUCGUAACAAGGUACC